UGACUCCAUUUGUUUACCUUUUGUUCUUAAAAAAUGACUUUAUAAAGGAGACUUUUUUAAGUGUUUCUAGUGAGUUAUGUUUAAUAUUACUCUAACAUAAUCUUCUACAGUGGUAUAGGUUCCAGCUGCUGUCAGUGGAUAUAUGAAUACAAGAAGAAAAUAAGGACUUACAACUCCCAAGAAGAAAGUGGUUUAUGAGCGUCAACAUUUUUAUAUGCAAUCGGGGCUUUUUGAAAACCAGUUCUACGCGGUCAUCAUUGUUGAUUUGGAGUUCUGGUAAAUGGGCAGACGUGAUAUGGCUUGUAGAAGAAACACGGAAAUUCGUUCAUUAUGACUGUGAAAAAUCAUCUGUCAAUAACCAGACUCCCAGAAAAAAAUGCACCAACAAUCAUCUUCAAGAUCAAAAUCUUGUCCUAAGCGUAUCUGCAUUGUAGUGUUCAAUCUUAUUGUAAUUGCUUUCAUCACUUGUUGUCUUGCAUGGCCGUCUAACGCCUGUUUACAAAACAAGUGCUACAUAACAAAAGGGGAGUCCUUAAAUAUUCCUUGGAAAGGUUCAUGGGACGAUAGAAUUUUCAUCAAUGGUGUAGAAGUAGGCUUUUGCAAUCGUUAUGAUGGUUGCCACAUGUAUGAAGAGGAAGAUAUGAAAAUCUUGAAUCUGAAGAAGUUAGAAAAGGAUUCAUAUGAGGUGCACAUUUUCAGUGUUACAUGUUGUUACACUAAUAUGAGUAUUGUUCACACUGGUGCUGAAAUCCCCCAAAGAACAUUUUUCAUACAUGUCAAUGGCUGCAAUGAAUCUGACAGGCUGGCUGAUGCCCCUGCUUGCUUUUUUCCACAUUGACAUUCCAUGGUUUUUUUGCAAUAAGCAUUUUUCUAUUUAUGAAAA